rnacentral:lncRNA from 1 species
CCUGAGAUUUAUUUAGUGUACAACUGUCGUGGAAAACAGACAUCGUUCGGAAGGUGCUUAACGAAACGUGCCGUGGCGCAGAAUUAAACAAUUUCUUGCUUGUCCUAACAUGCAUUCAGCUGUUGUACAUAGAAACGAAUUUUUUUGUGCUUUGUAAAUGAAAUUGUGUAUAAAAGUAGAAAUUAGUUAAACCUACGCGCAAAAAUAAGUUAAACGGCGUUUAGUGAAGUUCUUUGAAGUGAGUGGAGCAAAUAAAAAAAACAUCGUUUAUGGAAUAUUGUAGCGAAGUGCAUACGUGAUUGAAACAUACAGAGGAAUAAUUUUCCAGUCGGUUUAUCUUUUGUAGACUGCAUUGUGCCGUGAAGUUGGUGUAGCGAACGUGAGUGAGGGUGUUCAAAACAAAAUCAGGAGUUGAUAAAAAUAAUAUUGAUUUCAAUAUUUAAUUGUUUAUUUGUAUGAAAUCAAUGAACCAUUAAAUUGAGACAAGCAGCAACAAUUCUUAAAUAUUGACUAGUUGAAAAUUCCAACCACGUAGCUGUAACGAGUGAAUGUGCAACAGGGCGUGUAAACCGAUGAGUGUAAGAGCGGCAAAAGUGUUAAAAAUUAGUGCGAAAAAUAAGCUGUUGAGGUAACGGAACCAAAAAAAAUAAACAAGCAGUUGUGUGGAAAAAAUACGAAAAU